rnacentral:rRNA from 1 species
GACGAACGCUGGCGGCGUGCUUAACACAUGCAAGUCGAACGGAAAGGCCCUGCUUUUGUGGGGUGCUCGAGUGGCGAACGGGUGAGUAACACGUGAGUAACCUGCCCUUGACUUUGGGAUAACUUCAGGAAACUGGGGCUAAUACCGGAUAGGAGCUCCUGCUGCAUGGUGGGGGUUGGAAAGUUUCGGCGGUUGGGGAUGGACUCGCGGCUUAUCAGCUUGUCGGUGGGGUAGUGGCUUACCAAGGCUUUGACGGGUAGCCGGCCUGAGAGGGUGACCGGCCACAUUGGGACAGAGAUACGGCCCAGACUCCUACGGGAGGCAGCAGUGGGGAAUAUUGCACAAUGGGCGGAAGCCUGAUGCAGCAACGCCGCGUGCGGGAUGACGGCCUUCGGGUUGUAAACCGCUUUCGCCUGUGACGAAGCGUGAGUGACGGUAAUGGGUAAAGAAGCACCGGCUAACUACGUG